rnacentral:rRNA from 1 species
AGAGUUUGAUCAUGGCUCAGAUUGAACGCUGGCGGCAGGCCUAACACAUGCAAGUCGAGCGGCAGCGCGGGGGCAACUCAGGCGGCGAGCGGCGGACGGGUGAGUAACGCGUGGGAAUCUAACCAGUAGAGGGGGAUAGCCCGGGGAAACUCGGAUUAAUACCGCAUACGCCCUAAGGGGGAAAGCAGGGGAUCUUCGGACCUUGCACUAUUGGAAGAGCCCGCGUCGGAUUAGCUAGUUGGUAGGGUAAAGGCCUACCAAGGCGACGAUCCGUAACUGGUCUGAGAGGAUGAUCAGUCACACUGGAACUGAGACACGGUCCAGACUCCUACGGGAGGCAGCAGUGGGGAAUAUUGCGCAAUGGGCGAAAGCCUGACGCAGCCAUGCCGCGUGUGUGAAGAAGGCCUUAGAGUUGUAAAGCACUUUCAGUAGGGAGGAAAGGUGUAAGGAUAAUACCCUUGCGCUGUGACGUUACCUACAGAAGAAGCACCGGCUAACUCUGUGCCAGCAGCCGCGGUAAUACAGAGGGUGCAAGCGUUAAUCGGAAUGACUGGGCGUAAAGCGCGCGUAGGUGGUUUGUUAAGUUGGAUGUGAAAGCCCUGGGCUCAACCUGGGAACGGCAUCCAAAACUGCCAGACUAGAGUAUAGUAGAGGGGGGUAGAAUUUCCGGUGUAGCGGUGAAAUGCGUAGAGAUCGGAAGGAAUACUAGUGGCGAAGGCGGCCCCCUGGACUGAUACUGACACUGAAGUGCGAAAGCGUGGGUAGCAAACAGGAUUAGAUACCCUGGUAGUCCACGCCGUAAACGAUGUCUACUAGCCGCUGGGCAGCUUGACUGUUCAGUGGCGCAGCUAACGCGAUAAGUAGACCGCCUGGGGAGUACGACCGCAAGGUUAAAACUCAAAUGAAUUGACGGGGGCCCGCACAAGCGGUGGAGCAUGUGGUUUAAUUCGACGCAACGCGAAAAACCUUACCAGGUCUUGACAUCCAGAGAACCUUUCAGAGAUGAGAGGGUGCCUUCGGGAAUUCUGAGACAGGUGCUGCAUGGCUGUCGUCAGCUCGUGUCGUGAGAUGUUGGGUUAAGUCCCGUAACGAGCGCAACCCUUGUCCUUAGUUGCUAGCAGGUAAAGCUGAGAACUCUAAGGAGACUGCCGGUGACAAACCGGAGAAAGGUGGGGACGACGUCAAGUCAUCAUGGCCCUUACGACCUGGGCUACACACGUGCUACAAUGGCCGGUACAGAGGGCUGCGACCCAGCGAUGGUAAGCCAAUCCCUUAAAACCGGUCGUAGUCCGGAUUGGAGUCUGCAACUCGACUCCAUGAAGCCGGAAUCGCUAGUAAUCGCGAAUCGGCAUGUCGCGGUGAAUACGUUCCCGGGCCUUGUACACACCGCCCGUCACACCAUGGGAGUGGGUU